AAGUGGAGCAAUCCAUGAGUAAAGUGGCGACCGGGUGAGUAACACGUGACUAACCUACCUUUUAGUGGGGAAUAACCUCGGGAAACCGGGGCUAAUACCGCAUAAUGUCUUCGGACCAAAGGAGCAAUUCGCUGGAAGAGGGGGUCGCGGCCGAUUAGCUAGUUGGCGGGGUAACGGCCCACCAAGGCAAUGAUCGGUAGCCGGCCUGAGAGGGCGCACGGCCACACUGGAACUGAAACACGGUCCAGACUCCUACGGGAGGCAGCAGUGGGGAAUUUUGCGCAAUGGGGGAAACCCUGACGCAGCAACGCCGCGUGGAGGAUGAAGCCCCUUGGG
rnacentral:rRNA from 1 species